rnacentral:rRNA from 1 species
CGUCAAGUCCUCAUGGCCUUUAUGCCCAGGGCUGCACACGUGCUACAAUGGCGUGAACAGAGGGAAGCGAGACCGCGAGGUGGAGCCAAUCCCAGAAAGCGCGUCGUAGUCCGGAUUGGAGUCUGCAACUCGACUCCAUGAAGUCGGAAUCGCUAGUAAUCGCGGAUCAGCAUGUCGCGGUGAAUACGUUCCCGGGCCUU